CAUGGAAUAGCAUUUCAUGGUAUGGAAUUUUCCAUUUAUGGCAUCGUAUCAGAGCUGAAAGGUUUCAUAUUUUGGAGCAUGUUGGGUUUCCGAUUAUCAGAGAAGGAUGCUCAGCCUGUUCCCGUUCCCACUGCCGUCGGCGAUGCCUGAGCACUGGAUGUGUAUCUCCCACCUGCCCUCUCUAAAUCUGGCCAUUUUAACUAAAAAAAGGAAAAUCUAACUCAAUUGAAAAGGGUAUUUCAUUGUAAUUUGUAAGUGAACAUUUUUUGCUUAUCUUACUACUUUUAUUUCUAUUUUCAAAAUUCUCAAAUAAUAUUUUGUUUAUUAAUUUAUUAUGCUCAAGUGGUUUUAACAUAAAUUAUACAAAUGCUCCAAAAACAUGAGUACUUGCUCAUUGCAAAAGAAAAAAGUUAACUUGCUCCGAACAUUUUCCCAUUUUAUCAUUCUUCACCUAAUUUUGGCUUUAUUGUUAAACAUGUAAAACCUAUUUUUCAUUCUUAU
rnacentral:lncRNA from 1 species